CAGAGAACCAGCAAAAGCAUCAGACACCAUGUUGACCUCAGCAUCAUCGUUGGACAUCUGGAAGAUAAACAUGCAGCACCAGGAGCUCUUAAUAAUCCCCAGUUGCCCCCUCCCCCUUAGAGGCAUAAAUUUAGGCCUGAUGAGUUAUGGAGAUUACUGGACCCAUUCUGGCAACUGAAAAUGUUGCAGUGGUCUCCAUUUUUUCACUUUUGAUGCUUAAGAAAUGUGGCAACGAUGACCUGGCCUUUAGAGAUUGAAAAUUAAGCACAGCUGGUAACUUAACUCCACCCUGUGCCUUGUUUUUCUUUUUCAUGGCCGUACUGGGCCAUGCUGCAGCUCAAUAAAUGCAUGAGAUGUUUGGUAGUUUAAAUCUGCAGGAAANUGUGGUAAAAACAUCUUUAUGGUGUUUGAACCUCNUAAUUUUGGCUGGACNAUCAAACUUAACUGGGUCCUGCAGCUAAGCUAAAUGCCUGAGAUACUUGAUAGUUUAAUCUGUAGGAAAUUANUAUAAAAACAUCUUUAUGGUGUUUGAACCUCCUAAUUUUUUCUAGACCAUUGAACUUAACUGGGUCCUGCACCUAANCUAAAUGCAUGAGUUGUUUGNUAGUUUAAUCNGUACNAAAUUCUACUUCCCACCUUCAUGGUGCAAAGAUCUNGGUUCUGCUUGACCCUGGCUGCAGCUAAACAAAAUAAACUAGAAAAUUCCCCCUCACCCUGGUAGAAAUUGAAAUGAUGCAAGAAUUCCUCGUGCUCAACGAUGGAAGCAGCAAAGAAUGUGGAAGAAGCCCAUUCUCCAUGCAGGACUUCAUCAUUAUGUACAUCGUUUGGAAUGCCAGUGACGUAGCAAAGCAUCUACAGACUUUCAUGAGCAUCAGCCAUCACUUUGACCUCAGCAUCAUCAUUGGACAUCUGGAAGAUAAACAUGCAUCAUCAGGAACCCUUAAUAAUCUCCAGUUGCCUCCUCCUGAGAAGCAUAUAUUUAGGCCUAAUAUUGGGUCAUGGAGAUUACUAGACCCAUUCUGGGAACUGAAAAUGUUUGCAGUGGUCUCCAUUUUUGACUUUUAAUGCCUAAGAAAUGUGGCAAGGAUGACCUGGCCUUUAGAGAUUGAAAAUUAAGCACAGUUCUAAUUUAAGACCACUCUGUGCCUUAUUCUUUCUGCGCCAUAGAAUUUAACUGGGUCUA
rnacentral:lncRNA from 1 species